rnacentral:lncRNA from 10 species
GCUCAGCAGAUGUCAGUGUCAUGCUCCCUGUACAGCCUACAAAACGGUGAGGAUUCAGGAGAUAAUUCUGCGAACAGAAAUUCCUGAGAACUGAGAUGGGGGAAAUCGCUGGUAUUAGAAGAGUGAAAAGAAACUCCUGGAGGGCAGAGCUGUGUCUGCCAUCUUCAUCAUUGCAUUACCACCACCCAGCACAGUCCCUGGCACAAAAGAGUUGCUCAAUAAAUAGAUCAGGAUGAAUGGAUAAAUACAUGGAUAGGCACUUUGAACUACAGAAGAGUUUAAAUACUUUGUGUUUUUCUUAGUCAAACAUGUGCAAUUAAGCAUGUGAUAAAUUAUAUGAUGACCAC